rnacentral:rRNA from 1 species
GGGUAAGUCGGUGGCGGGGGGCGAGGUAAGGCGUAGGGUGCGGGCGGUAUCCGGGAGUAUGGGGGGGAAAGAGCUCGUAGGCGGGUUGGCGCGGCUGUCGGGAAAGUCCGGGGCUUGACCGCGGAUUGGCGGUGGGGACGGGCAGACUAGAGUGCAGUAGGGGAGACGGGAAUUCCUGGUGUAGCGGUGGAAUGCGCAGAUAUCAGGAGGAACACCGAUGGCGAAGGCAGGUCUCUGGGCUGUAACUGACGCUGAGGAGCGAAAGCAUGGGGAGCGAACAGGAUUAGAUACCCGAGUAGC